rnacentral:lncRNA from 1 species
GGACUCUAUCUGUUAUUAGUUUUGUGUGUGCGUUUGACAUUUUAUACAUUAAUGUCAUUCGCAUGCAAAGAUGUCAACCUACAAAGGCAAAGCAACUGAGUUUCAUGCUAGAAGUAAACUUAAGUAUUUGUGAAUCGCAAGUUCCCAGCAAAGGCAAAGCAAUGGUAGUGACCAUGGAAGCCGCGGUCUUAUCCCUUUGCC